GCGGAACCCGGAACCUAUAUUGAGUCAUCCUAUACCCCUAUAGAAGAGUUAAUGUUAGAACUAGUAACACAGAACCAAUUUCUCUCUAUGUAAGUUUAAAUCAGAUCGAAUAACUCACUGAUAAUUAUUCAAAACAUGAAACUAAUGUAACAACAUUACCAGAAAACCCUACAAAUCUCCCCCGUUAACCUAACACAAGAACAUAAAAGAAAGAUUAAAAGACAAAGAAGGAAUUCGGCAAACCAAAGUCCCGCCUGUUUACCAAAAACAUCGCCUUUUGAGCACUAUUUAAGGUAAUGCCUGCCCAGUGACCAUGUGUUUAACGGCCGCGGUAUUCUGACCGAGCGAAGGUAGCGUAAUCACUUGUCUUCUAAAUAAAGACUAGUAUGAACGGCCACACGAGGACUUAACUGUCUCCUUUGUCCAAUCAGUGAAACUGAUCCCCUCGUGCAGAGACGAGGAUAAAAUCAUAAGACGAGAAGACCCUAUGGAGCUUUAAACAAAAAUCAACUAUUCUCACACACCCUCCAAGGGGCUAACAAAUAACUUGAUAUGUUUGAUAUAAGUUUUAGGUUGGGGCGACCAUGGAGAAAAAUAAACCCUCCCUGAUGAUUUAUAAACCAAGAGCCACAGCUCUAAGUAUUAAGACACUUAACUUACAUUGACCCAUUUUAUGAUCAACGAACCAAGUUACCCUAGGGAUAACAGCGCAAUCCAUUUCAAGAGUCCCUAUCGACAAAUGGGUUUACGACCUCGAUGUUGGAUCAGGGCACCCAGGUGGUGCAACCCGCUACUAAAGGUUCG
rnacentral:rRNA from 1 species